CAGUAGCAGCAGCAUCAGCCCCAGUAGAUUUUAUGGUUGCCUCAUGUUCACAAGAUAUGGUAGAAAGCAAUCCCUCAGACCCAACAUGUUAACUUGAGAUCAAGGAAUUGCUUGCGUCAAUUUUUGGCACAAUUUCAAGCUCAAUAUUAUCUAUGGGAAGAGAGAAGAUAAAGGUAAAGAGAAGGAUGUAAGGAUUUCAACUUUUAAGUGGCCAAAGAUGAGCAGCUUUUUUGGAGAUACACAAGAGCAUCAAGACCAAUAAACACAAACUCUUUUUGUUUUACCGUUGGUUGAUAUGGAUGGAUCUAUUUUGGAAGCAUCUUAAAAUAUGUGUAGAUAAAUUUUGUUGAAAAGAUUUCUUGUGUUGGGAUGUCUCAAUUCAAGUUUAUCUA